AUAAGGAGUGCCUUAUGAGGUGCGUUUUAUAUGGGAAAACAUAGAAUCUAGCAUCUUGGAACAAACGUCAAAAGAACAACCUUUAAGCCUACUAAGAGAAGAUGCUAGCUUUAGUAAUUUUGGAAUCAAUAACCAAAAUCAAUUUUUUUUCAUUUUGAAUUUCAACCUGUGACUUCUAUGUAUGUUAACACCUUACUUUUCUAGGUGUAUUUUACUGAUUUAGAACACUUGAAGUGUCUGUGGCAUGUGUAGAGAUAAACACGAACACCUAUAGAUAAAGCAAAUUAUACUUUUAUGUAGCUUUCUGGAAUAUGAUUCUGCUAUCUGAUCUGUUCAGUUUAUAAAAGAUGCACUUCUGAAUUUAUGCCUCAUGAAUGACCAGAGAAAAAUAUUUGAGUAGUUUCUCUAUACUGCCAGCUGGGGGUAGUUUUGCUGGUUUUUACAAAUGGUUCAGUCUUGCUGCACUUCGGUACAUGAUUUAAUUAUUAUUAUUUAUAGUGGAAUCAGAUGCAGUCUGGGUUAAUUUUGUUUAAGCCACACAUUGACACUUGUCGUUAUCUUGUUGGGGACGCUAUUCUACUUACAGAAACAUAGUUUUUCUAUCAAAUUGAUUCUGUCCGUUGUAUUACUUUAAAGUGCAUGGAAUAUGAACAAGAAUAAGUUCCGUCAGCGUCCUUUCCUAAGAUUGGUACAUAUUCACAUUGCAGUCCAGGAAAGUUUCGGCCAUGAGAUUUAUGCUCUUUAUGUGGGAUAAGCUCCUUUUGAACAAGACCCUUUGAUUGUAAUCAUCAGUAGUCAAAGCAAGAGUACUUACGUACUAUGUUUCUGUAUAUGUUACACAAUAACACAACCACCCUUUCAGACUUUUGCUACCAUAGAUAACCAGUUCAUUACAAUCAAGUUUCUUUAGCUUACCAAGCUUUAAGGGACCGAAACACUUGUAGUCAAUGUCAGUCUAGGUCCUCCCCAUUUUUAAUUUUAAAAAAUACAGUAACAUACAAUUUUUAUUAAUUCAUGUUCUGUCAUCAAGGGAACUGUUUCUAGCUUUUCUAGACUUAGUUCCAUUAUCUUCUUGAAACCAAAAGCGAAGCAUGUAUGAAUUUUCCACAUGUCAGCAUUUUUUGUUUCUAUUUAUAUGCUCUUGAUUCUUGAGAUAUAUAAGGAAUAAGAUUAAGUCUUUUCCUGAGAACUGAGGACUUUCGUUUCAUGUACUCAAUUUAACUGGCAGUUCGCUGUGUUUCUACUCCACCCCUGUACAAUAUUUGGUUGGUUGAAGUGACUCAUUAGGACCAUACUAAUAACAUAUGUUGACAUUGAAGAACAGUAGUAAGAAUUUUAAACGGACAUAAUUCAAGUUCGCCACUUAAGAAAAGGAAUUCCAGGAACUUAUUGCUGUGUCCGGUGUCCCUUCCCAUUUAGGGCUUCUUCUACAGUCAUGGGGAAUUGUAACCAUAACUUCCCUAUUCUAUUAGUUCUUUUCAAUAGAUUAGAAACCUCAUAAAGUUUUUGGAAGAAUGGGCCAAUUUGGAAUGUUUGGUAAUUUUCUCAUGAUAUUUGUGACACUAAGACCUAUUUUUUUUGAAAGAAUGACACUAAGACCUAUUGAUUAUACCAUUUGCGGCAUCAUUGUUUUUACUGAGUUUGUGUUGAUGACUUGAGCACGAAACACAUGUUUAUUUUUCUUGCUGCAGUAUACUUUUUGUACUCAUCUCAUAAUUUAUUUUAUUUAUCCAUGCGCUGUACUUCUAUUUUUCUAGCAACAUGUACUUAUCAGAUAGCACAUGCUGUUUGAAAUGGAGGGUGGGCUGUCUAGCUAUCAGCAUAUAAAGAAGUCUUCGAUACAAGAAUCUAAAGCAUCAUCCUGUACCCUUCAUCUUUAACAAAGCAGCAUCACUUGUGGGGGCAUAUUCAGCUGUAAAGAUUGGUCCUGAUAGCAGUUCUAGAAUUGUAAGUUACAUAUAACAUGAAGUUUUCUGUUCUAGUUUCUACGAACUUCUUUUACAUGAGGCUUACCGGUUCAGUAGCAGGCACAAAGGCUUGUGCCGGAGUUGCUUGAACUAAGGAGUCAUGACCAGCACAGUGCACACGCUAAUUGUUAUUCAAAAACUGUUUUUUAAAUAUUAUUUAUGCAUCAUUUUUUUUGUCAACAAGAAAGUUAAGCAUGUUAGGUUAUAGGAAAUAUUAUCAAUGAACCAGCAUACUAUACCUAUUAAUUCUUAUUUAAUGGCCAUUUUCUUAAACCACAAGAUAUCUCAUGUAGAUGAUCAGAAGAAAGGAAGGGUAUAAGAGUGUUAACUGGUCCCUGGAAAUUCGGUGCUUUCAUUUUUUAAAAAAGAAAGAAAGCUAAACCUGAUAGAUUAUAGGAAAUACUAGUCUAUCUUGCGUGUAUUAUGCAUUUUAAUUGUCUGAUAAAUGGCUUGUCACAGGAAUAUAUGAUUGUUAUUCCUGCCUGUAGGAACCAUGUAGCACAAUCGAGUGAAGACUAAACAAAAUGCAAACAGUUAUGUGAUCGUAAUCUUAUAAACUUUAGCAUCCUUUCAUUAGAUUAAGUUAUUAUUUCUUAUCUGAAAGAUCUGUACUUGUAGAUAAUUGGCACUCAUCUUUAGAGCUGCAAAGACCUGUGAAAAAGCACAUAAUUAUCAGAAGUGAUCUUAUCUGGUUUGUCACAGGGGGCAACAAAAUAGAAGAAUGCGUGGAUGUACAAGUUAUACACCCAGUUAACUAUCCAGGACAGUCACCUAGUCGAUACCUGGCCCUAGGUUCAUCCGUCCCCCUAGCACCUAAUUUGCAGAUACCCUGCCUGUGUGCCAACUUAUCAUCGCUAUCACGUGUUAGGAACCACCUCGUCAUCUACCUAGCACCCACCACUUUUCAGAACAAAACUAGUUUGAAUAAUUGAUAUCAUACGAGUUCUGGUGGACUGGCGGAGUGUGCAUCUACAUGUGUGGCUAAGUUCCUCCUUAUAUUGACCUGCCAAGCAGCGUUUGACGGACCAAACCCAGACUGCUUGAUUUCUGAUGACCUAGGUUUGGCCUUCUGUAGUUUAGUAGCUUUGUCAUAUGACUGCACAAUUUGGAACAGUGUUUACCAGUAGUUAGUAUGACAUUGGCUGCUCAAAAUGGUCCGACACAAUUGCAACAAGAUCAUACAGUUUGGGUCUAGAAACCUUGUCUAUUGUCAUGGGUACACCGGUAAUCAAUUAGUUUCUUGUCCAAUUUUGAUCAUUCGAGAGAUAAAAGGCAGAGUAGCAACCAAUGAAAAUCAGUCAUGAAUAGGGCAACCCAAUUGCACAAGCAACUCAUUUAUUGAAUGGAGUCUUUGUCCAGACACCAUGAGCUCCAUGGACACAUAGAUUCUCGAUCUCAAACUAUCUCCUCGGCAUUGAUUCUUUUCUUGGUGUCCUUGGCAUGUAUUCAUCCUCAAGUUGCCUGCAUAUUUCCGGUGAGCUAUGCUUUUCAUCAAUAUGUAUUUCUCAUCAAUCCAUCUAAAUCUUUUUUUUUCUUAUUCUCAUCAGCGGCAUCCGAAUCUUGAUAUUCCUUGUGGAGCAAAGAAGCUUUCUGUGGCUUUCACAGAACAUAUGCUGCCUGAGUAUGAAAAUAAACUAUCGCGGCGGCGACUAUCCUACGCUUAGUGAUGGUUACUGUUCAGGGAUGCUCUUUGAGCAACUAGUCUACUCUAGUGGUUAUGUGAUGCUCUUGCAGUUCACAGGCAGCGAGGAGGCACCUGAAGGAUUCAUUCUUGAUAUGGAAAUCUGUGGUUAAAGUAAAUCAAAUUGAGGCGAUGAGGCGAACAUCUUUGAUAUUCUUUCCUUGGGAGCAUCGUUGGAGCAUAUGGCAUUUCUAGUCCUGGUCAGUGCUUUUGGUUUGCCCCUCUUUUCGAUAUUCCAAUGAUCAUAUUGACAUCAGUCGAUGUCACGAGCAAUAUUCCUCUAAGAAUUUGGGUAGUUCUGCCACAUUUCGCUUCCUGGUUUAUUGCAGGUGCUUUCUCGUUGUUUGCUUGCUGAACACAUGCUGCGCUGUAAACGAACGAUUAUCCUUUUGCUCUAUUUUUCAAUUCGUUACUAAUUAAUAUGCCGAUUGAAAUCAUACUUCCUAUUGUUUUCUGUACUUAUAUUAUCCGUCACAUAACAGUAAUUUUUUUUAACACUGAGCUUGGCUAGAGAAUUUUUGGACCAUGUUCCUCUAUUUGAUUCCACAGGUUCUUCGUUUGGAAGGCUUUUGCUUCGGCUUGGGAAAAGAGAGCUCAGGUCAGGUGAGAGGGGUGACCAUCUAGCACUACCAAUAUAGCUAUACUAGAGGUGCUAUUUCUGUUCCACCUUGCUAUUAGUUGUGUUAUACUCCCUCCGUUCCAAAAUAAAAGCAUUUCUGGUCCCAUUCUAAGUCAGAAUGUCUUAAUAUUUAUCACACCAAGGAACCAUGGAAAUUUUUUUUAAUGAUGGAUCUAUUGAUGCUUAUUUGAUAUUAUAAAUGUUAUCAUCCUUUUGUAUAAACAUGAUCAAACUAAUGAUAGUUUGGCUUGGGAUGAAACGAGAAAUGCUCGAAAUUUGGGAUGGAGGGAGGGCAGUACCAUACCAUGUGCUGCUGGCAGCUGGGUGACGAAGAAUACCCACUUCGACGACAAGUUCUGUCCUGUAAACACCUUGGAGUAGAAAAUAAGCUAAUAUGUCCAGAGUCUACACAUUUAUAUCUAGUUUGAUGUGUGUAUUAGCAGUGCACACAGAUAAUCAUAUUGUUUUUAAUACAUGUAUAAUUAUAAUGCCAGCCUUCUAUGACAAAUCUGUAGAGUUUUAUGCUGGCCUUUGAAGUUUGCAAGGCUUAUGUUCCAGGGAUGAAUGAAUUAUAUAUAAAUUUAAGACGGGGGCGAUGAGCAUGCAUCUCA